UACGGGGGGGGCAAGCGUUGUUCGGAAUUACUGGGCGUAAAGGGCUCGUAGGCGGGGCAGCAAGUCUGUGGUGAAAUCUGUCGGCUCAACCGACAAACGGCCGCGGAUACUGCUGUUCUCGAGGGGUGUAGGGGCAUGCGGAACUUCCGGUGGAGCGGUGAAAUGCGUAGAUAUCGGAAGGAACACCGGUGGCGAAGGCGGCUUGCUGGGCCAGUUCUGACGCUGAGGAGCGAAAGCGUGGGGAGCGAACAGG
rnacentral:rRNA from 1 species